rnacentral:rRNA from 1 species
UACGGAGGGUGCAAGCGUUAUCCGGAUUCACUGGGUUUAAAGGGUGCGUAGGAGGGCAGGUAAGUCAGUGGUGAAAUCUCCAAGCUUAACUUGGAAACUGCCGUUGAUACUAUCUGUCUUGAAUAUUUGUGGAGGUGAGCGGAAUAUGUCAUGUAGCGGUGAAAAUGCUUAGAUAUGACAUAGAACACCAAUUGCGAAGGCAGCUCACUACUCAAUCAUUGACUCUGAGGCACGAAAGCGUGGGGAUCAAACAGG